AGGUGGGAAAGGGUAGGGAGCAACAGGAUUAGAUACCCUGGAAGUCCCGCCGUAAACGAUGUCAACUAGCCGUUGGAAUCCUUGAGAUUUUUAGUGGCGCAGCUAAGCAUUAAGUUGCCCGCCUGGGGAGUACGGCCACAAGGUUAAAACUCAAAUGAAUUGACGGGGCMGCGCACAARCGGUGGAGCAAGWGGUUUAAUUMGCRAGCAACGCGAAGAACCUUAMCAGGCCUUGACAUGCAGAGAACUUUCCAGAGAUGGAUUGGUGCCUUCGGGAACUCAGACACAGGUMAUGCAUGGCUGUAGUCAACUCGUGUCGUGAGAUGUUGGGUUAAGUCCCGUAACGAGCGCAACCCUUGUCCUUAGUUACCAGCACGUUAUGGUGGGCACUCUAAGGAGACUGCCGGUGACAAACCGGAGGAAGGUGGGGAUGACGUCAAGUCAUCAUGGCCCUUACGGCCUGGGCUACACACGUGCUACAAUGGUCGGUACAGAGGGUUGCCAAGCCGCGAGGUGGAGCUAAUCUCACAAAACCGAUCGUAGUCCGGAUCGCAGUCUGCAACUCGACUGCGUGAAGUCGGAAUCGCUAGUAAUCGCGAAUCAGAAUGUCGCGGUGAAUACGUUCCCGGGCCUUGUACACACCGCCCGUCACACCAUGGGAGUGGGUUGCACCAGAAGUAGCUAGUCUAACCUUCGGGAGGACGGUUACCSCGGUGUGAUUCAUGACUGGGGUGAAG
rnacentral:rRNA from 1 species